GGGAUUAUAGUUGAGUGGUACAACGCUCGCUUUGCAUGCGAGAGGUCCGGGGUUCGAUUCCCUGUGAUUCCA
rfam:Talaromyces islandicus isolate WF-38-12 genome assembly, contig: WF-38-12_scaffold00002